UUGUCCAAAAUAUGAGCAGCAGCAAUUGCAGCGAUAGAGCUAAACGCUUGCGGACUGUUACCCAAUGAUUCACUUGAGAGUGAACACUCUUCAGAAUAAUAUUGCAAAUGACUUGAAUAACGAACCAAGUCCUCAAACAUGCUUACAGCUGUAGAUAGGAGCUUCGGGUAGCCACUACAACCGGCCAUAGCAAGAGCUUCAACUAACCAAAAACACACCAUAGUAAAGGCGCCUUCAUCUCCACCAACACCAUCUUCAUAAACAAAAUUGUUGUAUCGGAAGAUUAGGCCAUUGCUCAUCAGACCAUCCUUCUCAAGGGGCUUCAUAAUGUUGUCCAUAGUACUCAAAAAUCGUGGGUCUGUUGGUGAUAUGAAAGAAACGAGGGGCAUAACAAGUACACUCGCAUCUAAGAUGUCAUUGUUCUCAAAAGACUGGGCGAAAAAUCCCUUUUCCAUAUUGUAUCCCGAAUCCAUAAUGGCUUCGUAGAUUUCAUCUCUAGUGUCCAUCCAUACCAUGUGUUUUGGACACGGUAAAGACCUUGUAAACGCUAUACGUAGUGCACGAUCCAAAGCUACCCAAAGCAUAAUUUUUGAAUAAAGGAAAUUUCGCUCUUGCCCACGCACUUCCCAGAUACUUUUAUCCGGCCUUUUCCAAUUUGCACAGACAUAGUCACAAAUUUGGCGAACUUCAAGCCAUAAGUCAUAUGCAAUGGGUUGGCAUUUCUUAUCGUAAAUAUAGAUCGAGUCCAUGAGCUCACCAUAAAUGUCAAGUUGAAGAUGAUGGACCGCUGCAUUACCAAUGCGCACAGGAUGGGAAUUGUAGUAACCUCUGAGAUGGGUCAGUUCAACUUCCUCAAGAUUUUGAGAGUCCCCGUGUAUGGAAUAAACAAUGUUUAUACCCCCGUCUUUAUUUUUCUUUUUGAGUACAUGAUAAAUAAACGACAUGUACUCUACAGCCUCCGCACGGAAACCAAGCUGUGCUAAAGCAUAUAUAGUGAAAGCUGAAUCACGAAUCCAUGUAAAUCGAUAAUCCCAAUUUCGAACGCCACCCAAAUCUUCCGGCAAAGAAAAGGUUGGACUAGCAAUGACAGCACCUGUUGGCUCAUAAAUUAAUAGCUUCAAGGUUAGAGCAUUCCUUUGAACAAACUCUCUAUACCUUCCAGUAUAAACACAUUGCUGGAUCCAAGCCCUCCAGUACCUUUUCGUAGAAUCUUCAAGUUUAUCAACAAGAUUAGGGGUCACAUAAUCAACAUUAGGACCUAGACCUUCUUGUCGAAAUAUAAAGGUAAUUUCUUGGCCUUCCUCCAAUUCUAAAUAGGAAAUCACGCCGCCACCUUCGAUAAGAUGUUCAGCCGGGUAUAUGAGUUCAAGGUCUAUUUUCAAUUGGUCUCCUGAAGGUACACAGUCCAAAAUGUAUUUGGGAUCACCUGAAGCGGGUACGAAUUCCGCUUGAUAAUAAUUUUCUGUAAUUUUAGAGACCCUCGUUUCAUGACUUUGACGAGCAUAGUCCAAGGCUGGAAAACACUCUAGCUUAAUACGAGACGUACCACGAAUACAACUAACACGACGAAUUAACCAAGGGUAAAGUGGUUCGUAAUCUUCCCAUGGUCGGUGAAAAAAAUCAAGUAAACGAAGGACACCUCUCUCUGAAUAAAACUUUGUAUGUAGAAUAUUGGUGGAAGGCUCAUACAUUUGCUUGCAACUAGUUUGUUCAAUCGGUGUAAUUGAAAAAUGUCCGGCACGCGCAUCUAAAAUUCGAGCGAAAAUAGAAGGUGAGUCAAAAUUUGGCCAACACAUCAUCUCUACCGAUCCAUCUAGAGAUAUCAUGGCUGAUGUGUGCAUGUUUCCAACGAUUCCAUGAUUAUCAAUUUCCCUAGGCAAGUAUUUUUCAGCGCCAUAAGAAACUCUGGCGUUAGGAGGCAUUUUAUUUAAGAGUUAAGUAUAAAUACAAUUAAUCAACUAAAACUCUCAAACCUAUUGAAGAAGUGAAAUUGGGGUUUAAGAUAGAAGAAAAGAAUAUUUGUACUGAGAGAAAGUCAAGGUUAAGGAAAAGUUCCUAUGUCUUGAAGAUAUGUAAUGCCAAAGAGAGAGGUGUAAAUUUCGAGUAGGAUAUGGAAUGAAAUGAGCUAAAAGAGUAAUUCUUUAAAAAGAAAGAACAGUUGGGACUAUUCCUGUGUUGA